GUUAUUUGCUCUUCCUGUCAAUAAGAUGAUCAUUAACUACAGUCAUGGAAGUGUGGAUGGAUGAUGGAAGAGUCCAAAAGAAGGCAGCAUGAUUUUCCAAAUGCAGGCAGCGGAUGUGACUGUGUCUUUAGAUAGCCCUGGCACUCUGCCCUGGAAUCCAUAGAACCCUAAAAGGGGAGUGUGGCAGAAACUCACUCCUCAGCAACUCCCUGUACUUAACUUCAACAGAGGGGCGCUCUCCCUUUGAAUACCAAAAAAGGAUAGCACAGAGGGGCAGCUGCCACUGUGAGGGGUUCUGCGGGACUCAGUUUGAGCCUCUCCUUCCUUUGGAUUCUAGCUUCAGAGGAGUAAGGCAGUUCCCUGUUGUUAGGAAAACUUUGCUUCAUAGCACUCAAGUCUACAGGGGAGCAGGGGAAGGAUGUGAAGACUGUGGUAACAGGAAGAAGUUCACUGAUCCGCAGUGCGCUCUGUCCAUGAAGGGAGCAGUCAACAACAAAGCGCUUUCUUCAGCCAUGAAGGUUUUUGUCUAAAAAGUGUUCAAUUCCAACUAGACCCAUGAAUCAAGAAGGUCUGAACUGUGAAUGCUACCAUUUCCUGCUUAGGACAGCUCACCCAGCCCUCCAGAGCUCUUACCCCUCUAACUGUGGACUACCCAUGAGGGCAGUGCCAUCCAGCUGAUGACCCACACAAACAUGGUCAGACUGAAAAGGAAUUACCCUGAGGCUCAAUCUGGAUAGAGAUUCACUAGACCCAGCAAAGUUACUAACUGUUGAGAUAAGCCACUCGAUCUAUCAAGGGAAGAAUAAGAGAACCGGGGAUUAAGAAAGUUUUAUCUCCCAGGAAAAAUGUAAUAGCUGAGAACUGAAGAAUAUAUGGAAAACAUCAGAGAAUGACCUAUUGUGCUCUCUUCUUGUGUAAAGAUGUGGAGACAGUAAAUAACACGGAUUGUUCAUAAAUGAAGACAGAGGACAUUGCUCAUCAAACCUGUAGGCAAGAAAAGCUUUGAGGAAAACACAUGUGUUUCAUAAUAGAAUUCUCCACCCAGUGACCACAGGACAUUGAACAAUGGAUCCAAUCUUACAAUAAAAUUG